rnacentral:rRNA from 1 species
CCCUUAGAUGUCCUGGGCUGCACGCGCGCUACACUGACGGGUUCAACAAGUUUACACUCCUUGGCAGAAAUGUCUGGGUAAUCUUAUGAACGCUCGUCGUGAUGGGGAUAGAUGAUUGUAAUUAUUCGUCUUGAACGAGGAAUUCCUAGUAAGUGUGAGUCAUCAGCUCGCGCUGAUUACGUCCCUGCCCUUUGUACACACCGCCCGUCGCUCCUACCGAUUGAGUGGUCCGGUGAGGCUUUGGGAUCUGAGCGGAAAGAGCGUUUCGCUGUUUCUGCUCGGAAAACUCAGUCGAACCUUAUCAUUUAGAGGAAGGAGAAGUCGUAACA